rnacentral:lncRNA from 1 species
UAAACAUUUCCUGCCAAAACAAAAAGAACGAUUAGAUUGAUACUACAUAUAUUACAAUUGAGUUGUAAAUAUAUGUACUUACAGAAAGCAUUCCUUUGACGAUAGAUUUUGGUAAACUGUCCAAACCAUUUUGUUUAUCAUUACUCUCAUAACUCAACAGAACAUCUAACAUAUCCAUUUUCCGUUUGUAGGGUAUCGUCCCAUCAAGUUGAGCUUUUCCCUUCUCAGCAAACCUCUCCUCAAUUAACUUCUCAUAGAAAGCAUCCAACUGGCCGAAGAUCUUGUUGAUUUUUCUCUUCAAGCCUUGUGGAUCAAAUGGUUUAACAAAUGGAAUGAGAUCA